rnacentral:misc_RNA from 1 species
UACGAAGGGCCCGAGCGUUAUUCGGAAUCACUGGGCUUAAAGCGUACGUAGGCGGGCGCGCAGGCGUCGUGUGAAAUCCCUCGGCUCAACCGAGGAACUGCAUGGCGAACCGCGCGUCUUGAGGCAAGUAGGGGCUGUCGGAACGCUAGGUGGAGUGGUGAAAUGCGUUGAUAUCUAGCGGAACGCCAAAGGUGAAGACAGGCAGCUGGGCUUGUACUGACGCUCAUGUACGAAAGCGUGGGGAGCGAACGGG